rnacentral:other from 1 species
AAUUCCCUGCGAUGUACGAGCGAGAUUCCGUGUUUUGAGCCAACACAUUAUUUUUGGGAGCCAUGAGCGCCUUUUAUUGAUGGUAAGCCCCCUCGAGGGGACAUCAGAUGUAAGAGGGAAGGCACCCACCUGCACAUGCAGGUUCAAAACCUGGAAUAUAUACGGCAUUGUGGGGUUCUU